rnacentral:rRNA from 1 species
AUUGAACGGUGGCGGCAUGCUUUACACAUGCAAGUCGAACGGUAACAGGCCGCAAGGUGCUGACGAGUGGCGAACGGGUGAGUAAUGCAUCGGAACGUGCCCAGUCGUGGGGGAUAACUACUCGAAAGAGUAGCUAAUACCGCAUACGAUCUAUGGAUGAAAGCGGGGGACCGUAAGGCCUCGCGCGAUUGGAGCGGCCGAUGUCAGAUUAGGUAGUUGGUGGGGUAAAGGCUCACCAAGCCAACGAUCUGUAGCUGGUCUGAGAGGACGACCAGCCACACUGGGACUGAGACACGGCCCAGACUCCUACGGGAGGCAGCAGUGGGGAAUUUUGGACAAAGGGCGCAAGCCUGAUCCAGCAAUGCCGCGUGCAGGAAGAAGGCCUUCGGGUUGUAAACUGCUUUUGUACGGAACGAAACGGCUCUGGUUAAUACCCGGGGCUAAUGACGGUACCGUAAGAAUAAGCACCGGCUAACUACGUG